rnacentral:rRNA from 1 species
GACGAACGCUGGCGGCGUGCCUAAUACAUGCAAGUAGAACGCUGAAGAGAGGAGCUUGCUCUUCUUGGAUGAGUUGCGUACGGGUGAGUAACGCGUAGGUAACCUGCCUUGUAGCGGGGGAUAACUAUUGGAAACGAUAGCUAAUACCGCAUAACAAUGGAUGACACAUGUCAUUUAUUUGAAAGGGGCAAUUGCUCCACUACAAGAUGGACCUGCGUUGUAUUAGCUAGUAGGUGAGGUAAUGGCUUACCUAGGCGACGAUACAUAGCCGACCUGAGAGGGUGAUCGGCCACACUGGGACUGAGACACGGCCCAGACUCCUACGGGAGGCAGCAGUAGGGAAUCUUCGGCAAUGGGGGCAACCCUGACCGAGCAACGCCGCGUGAGUGAAGAAGGUUUUCGGAUCGUAAAGCUCUGUUGUAAGUCAAGAACGGGUGUGAGAGUGGAAAGUUCACACUGUGACGGUAGCUUACCAGAAAGGGACGGCUAACUACGUG